rnacentral:lncRNA from 1 species
UCGGCCUCCCAAAGUGCUGGGAUUACAGGCGUGAGCCACUGUGCCCGGCCAGAAGUGAUUGCUUUCUAAAGGUAGAUUACUGGCCAGAGUUUUUGAGUUACAAGAGCCACUCCAGAGAUUUCUUUUAGAAAAACAGUCACCACUGGCAACACAUUUCAGUGACACAGAAUGGCUCACAAAACUUGCUUACUUAUGUAACAUAUUCAACCUGCUCAAUGAAGUCAAUCUGUUGUCACUUCAAGGGAGAAUGACAACGGUGUUCAAGUCAACAGAUAAAAGUGGCUGCAUUCAAAGCCAAACUAGUAUUAUGAGGGCAAUGCAUAAACAUUGGGAUUUCUGACAUGUUUCAAACAUUAGCAGAAAUCUUGAAACAGACUGAGCCAGGGCCUUCUUUCUCCCAGCUGGUACAUGGAUCACCUAUCUCAGCUUUUUAAAGAAUCUGAGCAUUAAUUCCCAACCAUAAAAAAACCCGAACUGGGAAGAAAUGGAUAGCGACCCACUUGUAAAUUGCCAGGUGAAUCAACUUUGUCCACACUAGAAGAGAAUCAACUGCUUGAGACUGCAAAUGACAGUGGUCUUAAAAGUAUGUUUGAGACAACUUCAAGUCUCCAUACAUUUUGGAUUAGAGUCAAGGCAGAAUAUCCUGAGAUUGCCACAAAAGCACUGAAAAGCCUGCUUCCAUUUCCAACAUCAUAUCUUUGUGAAGCAGGGUUUUCUGCAAUGAUAGCGACCAAAAUGAGAUUACAGAGUAGACUGGACAUAAUCAACAAACUUUGGGUGUCACUGACUCCCAACACUCCCAGAUGAGACCGUCUAGUUGUGGAAAACAAGCUCCGGGCUCCCACUGAUUCUACAUUAUGGUCUGUGGAGAAAUUGUCUUCCUCAAAACCAGACCCUGGUGCCAAAAAGGUUAGGGACUUCUGCUAUACACUCUGAAGUUAUCCUUCAAGAGCGAAAGAGAAAGACUUCCACAGACAAAAAUUGAAGGAUUUUUGUGGCCAGUAUAUCUGCUUUGCAAGAAAUGUUAAAAGCCUUCAGAGAGAAGGGAAAUGACACAGGUCAGAAACUCACAUCUAGACAAAGAAAGCAAGAGCAUCGGAAAAGGAAUAAGUGAAGGUGUCUGCAUGCCUAAUCCUCCCUGGUCGUGUGACAAGAACCCAAUUUUUUUCUACAACAGUAGUAAGUAUAUCCAUAGAAAAUGGAAAAUAUAUAACCAUCUACUAAGUAGAUAAUUUGGAUGAAAUAUAUCACUUAGAAAAAAUUGCUUAGAAUGUAAGAAAGGUUUCAGAUAUUUAAAUAAACCAACGGUAGAAACUAACAUGGCAGAUAUCCUUAUAUUUCUUCCGUUGAAAAAGCAGCAAACAUUUAAAAAUAUUGGUGUUAUAGGUUUGACUGUAUUCCUUAAAAAGAUAAGUUGAAGUCCUAACCUCUUGUAACUUCAGAAAGUGAUCUUAUUUGGAAAUAGGGUCUUUGCAGAUGAGUCAAGCUAAGAUGAGCUCCUUAAGGUAAGGCCUAAUUCAAUGUUUGGUGUCCCUAAAGAAAGGGGAAAUUUUGGACCUACGUACACAAGGAAGACUAUGUGAAGAGACACAGAGACAAUGCCAUGUGAAUAUCAAAGUAGAGAUUGGAAUGACACAUCUACAAGACAAGGAAAGCCAAAGACCAAAAGCUAGGAGAGAGGCAUGGGACAAAUUCUGCUUCACAGUCAUCCAAAGGAACCAACUCUGCCAACACCUUGAUUUCUAACUUUCAACUUCCAGAACUGUGAGACAAUUUCUGGUGUUUAAGCUAGCUCAUUUGUGAUACUCUGUUAUAUCAUCUCUAGGAACCUAGUAUAACUGGUAAAUCAAAUAGGAACACAGUUCUUUGGCAAGCCAAAAGAUGUAUAAACACCACAAAGCAACUUCAAGAGAAUUCAAAUGUGUAGUGAUAUUUUUAUCCUUUACUUUCCAAAAAUGCUAUUAAUAAGACCUUCAAAAUAAACCAGUAAUUGCAUAACAUCAACCAGUCACAGAUUAACUCUUUGAGAUGACUGUCAAGUAAUAUUAGGAUGGGAUGUUUCAUGCAGGAGACAGGAUAGGAUGAACAGACUAAGGAUAGAGAUCAGUUGAAAAGAAGGCACAUACUUUUGUCAGAUGGGAAGAUAUUUCAAAAGUGACACAUAGUGUUACAGGGGCAGGUUAGACAUCUGCCUCUGAAUUUCAUUCUCUCCCUUGCCUAAUAUACAAUAAGGGCUGAUAUUCAGCCAGUAUGCAUCAGUACAGAUAAUGUUAGCUGUUAGAAUACUGAAGUAGUUUCACUGUGGUUGGUAACUAACUGCUGUUUACACCACUGUGCGGACUGUCUCUUUCACUGUCCAGGCCACUCUCCAGAAUGCCCCAUGAUCCAACAAAUAACACAGUUACUCCCCAGCACAAGUGACCUUCAGGACCCCGCUCCAUCCAUAAAUAGGCAUCCUUUCUGAUUAGCUAGUUCUUGUACAAGUCAGUCCCGCAAAAUCUUCCCAGUUAAACACUACCUACAAUCUUAUUUAUACUUAAUUGGCAGAGCUAACAUUCAAACCCAGGCAGCCCAACAAAGGAGCACCUGAUCUUAAGGACCACAUUAUUCCACUGCUUCUACUAUUGAGACAGGUUUGCAGCAGAACUGGUUUCACAAGAUACAGGUCACAAAGACCUGGCUUAUAAAAUAGGAUGGGGUAAAAAAGCUGGCCAAAACUUGCCAAAACCAAGACAGCCAUGAAAGCGACCUCUGGUCAUCUUUACUUCUCAUUAUAUGCUAAUCAUAAUACAUUAGAAUACUAAAGUAAACUCCCACCAGUGCCAUAACAUAGUUUACAAAGGCCAUGGCAAAAUCCUUAAGUCACCCUAUAUGGUCUGAAAGGUGAAGGAGAAUUCUGGGAAUUCCUUGCCACUUUCCUGGAAAAUUCAUGAAUAAUCCACCUCUUGUUUAGCAUAUGAUCAAGAAACAGCCA